rnacentral:pre_miRNA from 1 species
CACUACUGGGGCUCAGGAGGCAGCUCUGGGGGCAUAGCACCAUGGCCUGGGCUCUGCUCCUCCUCACCCUCCUCACUCAGGACACAGGUGA